rnacentral:lncRNA from 1 species
AAAAAACGUGGACCACUUGAUCUCCCUCAUUAAUUGAGGUGGCAGAUCAAGUAGCCACCAGCACGCGUUCCAUGGUGGACUUGAGUCAAUGCGGCAUAGGCUUGGUAUUUAAAAGUAACACACAAGAUUAAAACAAUUGGAAAAGGAUCAAUGGCUCUGAACCAUGCCAACACAUCACCGGUGUCCAAAGGUCGGUAAUCUUCUCCGGUGACCCUGGCCGGACUGGUUCACUCAUCACCAUCAAGAAAAUGAAAAAGGAGGACAUGAUCGGAAAGAAAAAAUGGCGUAGAGCACGAAUCUGACCUCAAUUUUAACUAACUCCACAUAU